rnacentral:rRNA from 1 species
UACGGGAGGCAGCAGUGGGGAAUAUUGCACAAUGGGCGAAAGCCUGAUGCAGCUAUGCCGCGUGUAUGAAGAAGGCCUUAGGGUUGUAAAGUACUUUCAUCGGGGAGGAAAAAAACAAAACUAAUAAUUUUAUUUCUUGACGUUACCCGAAAAAGAAGCACCGGCUAACUCCGUGCCAGCAGCCGCGGUAAUACGGAGGGUGCUAGCGUUAAUCAGAAUUACUGGGCGUAAAGAGCACGUAGGUGGUUUUUUUAAAGUCAGAUGUGAAAUCCCUGGGCUUAACCUAGGAACUGCAUUUUGAAACUGAAAUACUAGAGUAUCGUAGAGGGAGGUAGAAUUCUAGGUGUAGCGGUGAAAUGCGUAGAUAUCUGGAGGAAUACCUGUGGCGAAAGCGGCCUCCUAAACGAAUACUGACACUGAGGGUGCGAAAGCGUGGGGAGCAAACAGGGAUUAGAUACCCGU